rnacentral:rRNA from 1 species
AUGGCGACGACGGCGGCGGGUGAACUUGCGGAGGUGGAUCCAGAGGUAAAGGAAGAUGGGGGCACGAGGGGAGGCAAGCUAGGGUUUGGGAGGGGCGUCGGUCGACUUGUAGGCAGGGCAGGGGUGCGGAUGGCCGCCGGGAGGCCAUCCAUGGCCAUGGGCGGCUGCACGACAGCCACCGAGUCCCUGAUGAAUAGAGGUCAUCAUGACGAAGUCAUCAUCCUUUCUUCCGGAUCUUCAUCGUCCUACGAACGCGAUAAGAGGGAAAACUCUGGAAGAACGCAUCUCCACAAAGUUGGGCAUCUG